AUCCUUCAUUCAUUAUGCACCUAGUGUUGGGUGCUUGGUACAGGGGGUUGAAUCAGACCCCGUUCCUGCCUUCGGGGAGUUCAGGGGAUGGUGGGAGAACACGGACCUAGGCUCCGACAGUGACAGCUCUGAGUAAAGAAGUCGCCGAAGCAGUGGGACACUAGAUGCGGGGAAGGCUUCCUGGAGGAAAUGAGGCCUAAACUGAGCCUUGAAGAAUGGUUGAGUUUGCUCCAGAAAUAUAUUGCAAAGGCAUUCUUGGCGGAAGGACCUGAGACGUGAAAGAAACAGGCGUAUUCUGGUAAUUUCGAGGAGAGGUCGACAGUGUCGGGAGUUGGAGUGAGCCGGCUGGAUGUGACCCCCAAGACAGAAUGGUGCUGGACUCCGGGGCUCAGGCGUAUGAUCAGGCACCCCCCAGCCCGCCUACCAGUCCCCCAUCCCUGCGCCAUAGGCUGAAGCCCUCAGACCGAGAUGGGCCACCACUGUACCCCUGGUCUCAGUCCCUGGCCUUGCCCCUGGCUCUGGCAGUCCCCCCAGCACUGCAGCCCGAGCCUGAGCAGCAGCCCUUCUCACAGAUGCACCUGGGCCACCGUGGCCACAUGCGUCGCAGUGAGAGCACCUACUCUGUAAAUAGUACUGGCCGGCGGGGACGUGGCACCCUGGGACGGCCUCCACCUGGACGGGGACAGAACCCAGGUGGGGGCACCCUGCGGCCUGCAGCCUCCCUGCCUCACAUUGCUAAGACUCAAAGGGAUGCAGGCCAUAGUGCCAGCAAGAGCCCCUGCAUGUUGGUGGCCCUGCGGCCAACCAAUAUGGACCGUGAGCGGGACAAGUUCUUCCAGUCCCAUUACACCUACAAUCCACAGUUCGAGUACCAGGAGCCCAUGCCCACAGCUGUGCUGGAGAAGUACUGCGAGGCCUCUGGACAGUUCAUCCAUCAGGCAGUUGGCAUCAUUGAAGCUGUUCUGGAGAAGUUUGGAACCUAUGAACACUUUGAGGCUGCCACCGGGGGGCAGCUGCUCACCAAGUGCCAGAUAUGGUCCAUUGUGCGCAAAUACAUGCAGAAGGAGGGCUGCGUCGGGGAGGUUGUGGUGCAGCUGAGUGAGGACCUGCUGUCCCAGGCAGUGAUGAUGGUGGAGAACAGCCGGCCCACAUUGGCGAUCAACCUGACCGGAGCCCGCCAGUACUGGUUGGAGGGCAUGCUGCGGCAUGAGAUAGGCACCCAUUACCUGCGGGGCGUGAACAACGCGCGCCAGCCGUGGCACAACGCGGAGGGCCGGCUGCGGUACGGGCUGCGGCCGGCUAACCCCACGGAGGAGGGCCUGGCCAGCCUACACAGCGUGCUGUUCCGCAAGCAGCCGUUCUUGUGGCGCGCUGCGCUGCUCUACUACACCAUCCACCGCGCCGCGCGCAUGUCUUUCCGUCAGCUCUUCCAGGACCUGGCGCGCUACGUGCAGGACGCCGACGUGCGCUGGGAGUAUUGCGUGCGCGCCAAGCGCGGCCAGACCGACACCUCGCUGCCAGGUUGUUUCAGCAAGGACCAGGUGUACCUGGACGGCAUCGUGCGCAUUCUGCGACAUCGCCAGACCAUCGAUUUCCCGCUGCUGACCUCACUGGGCAAGGUGAGGGGCUGUGGACCUUCAGAGGUUCCGGCCAGCUCCCUGCCUCGCUGUAGAAUUCCCUGAGCCUCGGAUUGGUGCUAGACCGAGGGCUGGAUGCCAGGCCUCUGGUGGUGGGGGGAGUGUGGAUGGAAGUGAGAACAGGAGAUGAAAUGACUGGCAGCAAAACCAGGUGCUUAACGGAGGCUGCAGGUGUAUGUAAAUACUGCAUCUCAAAAGAGGUGUCCUAUGAGGAUGUGGACCACCUGCGGCCCCAUGGGGUGCUGGAUAAUACCCGGGUGCCCCACUUCAUGCAGGACUUGGCACGCUACCGGCAGCAGCUGGAGCACAUCAUGGCCACCAACCGGCUGGAUGAGGCAGAGUUGGGUCGCCUGCUACCCGACUGAUGUCCGUUGAGGGCUGCAGACAGAGGUCCUGGACAGAAGCUUCAGAUAGGCCCCAAGAACAUGAAGCUGUUUGCUCCGUGCUUCCACGGCCUGGGUGUUUCUUGGGGGUGUUGGGAGGGCAGGAGCAUUCCUUGAGGAGGAGUGGCAACAUCAAAGGGUUUGUGUCCCUUGCUAGCCUCCCUGGGGCCUGGGGACCUGCAGCAGCAUGUCUGGCAAACUGAGUCCCCCUCCUGCCUCCAGCUCUCUGUUGAGCAGAGGGAAGCCAUGGGGGCAGGAAGGGAGCUGAGCAUUGAUGGGGAUGGGGGUGGUUUGGGAAUAGAAACUUGUUCUUGCAUGAGAUGGCUUUGGUUGUCCCAGUACUCCAGUCUCCCUUCCCUCACCUGGCCCCUUGGUGCUCCUUCAGCAAUCGUGCUGUCUACCUCUCACUGGGUCCUGGUAGGGGUUGGGAUCUCUUCUCCUGGGGUGAUUGAUGGCCUGAGCCUGGGGUCCUGGUAGUAGAGACCCAGCUGGUCUGGGGUCUGCUUUCUGACAUUUUGCAUCUGUCACUGGUCAUAUAUUUAUUCCAUAUUUAUAUGGUCUACUUCCUGUGACUGGGAGCAGCAGCUCCUGAAGGUUUUGUGGGCGGGGGAACAGGACAUUCCUUCCUGGAAGGCACCAAUUUUCCCAGCCCCACUCCCAUUACACACACACACACACACACACACACACACACACAGUGAUUCAGGCCUUGAGAGUCAAGCCCAAGAGCUCCCUUGGCCCUGUCACCACUCCCUCUACUGGCCUCUGCUGUUCCUGUCUUUGCUCACACCCUUACAGCUGGUCUCUGGCAGAGGUUGGCAUAGCCUAGGAGCAGCUGCAAUUGCGCCUGAGGGACAGGCCCUAGAGUUUGGUGGCCCAAGUCCUGAACCCCUCUUGGACCAGGUGAGGUGCAGAGGUGGCUGCUGCUUCCAGUUUCCCUUCAGACUUAGCUGUAUGAGCCCCACUCCUAUCCUUUGGCCUUAGUUUUGCCAUCUGUAAAACUCAGAAACACAGUUGGAAAGUCCUUGUUCAUUUAGUCAUUGAAUAUAUUAUAAUAUGUAUAGAGCGCCUUUUGUGUAAGUUACUGGUCAGAGUCCUCACUGAGCUCCCAGUUCAGAGGGAAGCCAGACAAUUAAAACAGUAAUGACAAUGA